rnacentral:rRNA from 1 species
CCUACGGGGGGCUGCAGUGGGGAAUAUUGCACAAUGGGGGAAACCCUGAUGCAGCAACGCCGCGUGAGCGAUGAAGGCCUUCGGGUCGUAAAGCUCUGUCCUAAGGGAAGAAUACUGACGGUACCUUAGGAGGAAGCCCCGGCUAACUACGUGCCAGCAGCCGCGGUAAUACGUAGGGGGCUAGCGUUAUCCGGAAUUACUGGGCGUAAAGGGUGCGUAGGCGGCCCUUCAAGUCAGAGGUGAAAGGCUACGGCUCAACCGUAGUAAGCCUUUGAAACUGUAGGGCUUGAGUGCAGGAGAGGAGAGUGGAAUUCCCAGUGUAGCGGUGAAAUGCGUAGAUAUUGGGAGGAACACCAGUUGCGAAGGCGGCUCUCUGGACUGUAACUGACGCUGAGGCACGAAAGCGUGGGGAGCGAACAGGAUUAGAUACCCUUGUAGUC